GGCUGAGGAUGUGGCUCAAUGGUAGAGUGCUUGCCUGGCAUGCAUGAGAGCCUGAGUUCAAUUCCCAGCACAAGUCA
rnacentral:tRNA from 1 species